UUGAGGACUAUUGGGAAGAAAUUUCAUUACAAUCCUCCAAGGUUUCAACAAGGCCCCUCAGCUGCAUUUGGACCACUAGGGAAGUUAGAGUUGAUUAAAGGUUCAAUAAGUAUCGAUUAGGAGGCAAUUGGAACCGAAGUCGAGGUGUCCACGUAGUUUUGUCUUUUUGGUAGGUAUGUUGGCAUUCAGUAGCCGUCCUUUCACCUUGGUCAUUCCGCUGGAAGCCCAGAGUCAUUUUUUUUUGUAAAUACGUACAUGUGAUGUAAAGUACUAAGAUGCAUGACUUAGACCAUAUAUGUAUAUUUUGAUUGGUCAAUCAUCAUGAGUGGCAAUGGUUAAUAUUAAUUUGGGUUAAAAUAAAUGC